rnacentral:tRNA from 1 species
GCCGGGGUGUCGAAAUUGGCAAACGAACUAGACUUAAAAUCUAGCGUCCGUAAGGAUUUGAGGGUUCGAGUCCCUCCCCCGGCACCA